rnacentral:lncRNA from 1 species
AUGAAGAAGUGCCACUGUCAGCGCAUCACAGUCUGGGUGGAGUUGGAUCAUGGCUCUGGCACCCUUCAAGUUCCACUCCUUAGAGGCGACCGCACACUUUCCAUUGUGUCUCACUGUGUGUGUCUGUGUAAAUGCGUGUGUCUCAGGGAGGGGGAGUGUGAAGAAAGAAGUGGGGAUAUCAUGCACAGGUACCAGUUCCCUAUAAUGAGCGCUAUCAUUGUGUAUAUCUAAAAUGUACCAAUAAAUGUUUUUUAACAAAUAAAUUUUAUUUUAUCUCAUUCACCCCUCAACCCCUCCCCUCCCUAUGUACAGAAGCUUUGUUUCCAUUUUUUCCCUUGUUUUCACUUUUUUUCUUGUCCCUUCCUCCCUUUCUCCCUUCCUCCUCCCUUGUUAAGAUUCGUGUGUGUCUCUUACAGAUGUAGUUUUUUAAAAUAAAUUUUAUUUUUCAAUAAAUGUUUUGCUAUAAAAAGAGAAAAUGAGGGCUGGGGAUUUAGUUCAGUGCUGCCUCACAAGUGCAAGGUCCUCCUGAGUUCAAUCCCUGGUACAAAAGAAAACCAGAGGCCCAUAACCUUACCUGUUAGAGCUACUGCUGUGUGUGUGUUUGUAAUCUGAACAUUAGGACAAGUCAAGGACCUGUCUGUGCCAUAUUUUUAAAAAUGUAUAAUAUAUUCCAUUAUAUUAAUAAGUGAUACCUGAUGGAUAAACCAUAUUUAAUGAUCCAUUUCCCUGUUGGUGGGCAUUUGCAGUAUCAGUUUUUCCCUAUUAAGUAAUGAACUAAAAUUUUUUUUCUGAUGAAGAAUUUAAUUUCAAAAUAUAUAAAUAACACUUACAAAUCAAUAAUAAGACAAUCCAAAUAAAAGAAUGUGUAAAAGGUCUUAGCAGACUCACCACUGACAACAGAGGAAUGAA